UCGGGAAUUUUGGGCAAUGGUCGAAAGCCUGACCCAGCAACGCCGCGUGAGGGAUGAAGUAUUUCGGUAUGUAAACCUCGAAAGAAUGGGAAGAAUAAAUGACGGUACCAUUUAUAAGCUCCGGCUAACUACGUGCCAGCAGCCGCGGUAAUACGUAGGGAGCAAGCGUUGUUCGGAUUUACUGGGCGUAAAGGGCGCGUAGGCGGCGCGGUAAGUCACUUGUGAAAUCUCUGAGCUUAACUCAGAACGGCCAAGUGAUACUGCUGUGCUGGAGUGCGGAAGAGGCAACCGGAAUUCUUGGUGUAGCGGUGAAAUGCGUAGAUAUCAAGAGGAACACCUGAGGCGAAGGCGGGUUGCUGGGCCGACACUGACGCUGAUGCGCGAAAGCCAGGGGAGCAAACG
rnacentral:rRNA from 1 species